ensembl:miRNA Gm22802 predicted gene, 22802
UAUAAUAUAUAUAUAUAUGUGUGUGUGUGUGUGUGUGUGUGUGUGUGUGUGUAUAUAUACACACACACACACACACACACACACAUA